UUUCAUUAAGCAUUUUCUUUACCUUCUUUUACUUCUCCUCACUUCAAGUUCAUCCAACAAUGACAUCUCCAAAGCCUAACCCCAGAAAGGUUAUGGUACUCGAUCCAUUCUCUAAUGCUCCUGCUCCGAUUAAACAUACAAGAGGCAGCGGAGGAAGACUUCAAAGUUCGGGAUCUACACGUGGAGGUUAAACUGGUUCUGCUACUCUUUCUUCUAGUUCUGGCAUUAAAGGUUCUUCUUCUAAAACUCCAUCUUUGAAAGGUAAAGAAGUUUCUGACCCUUCUCAAGAACCCACAGUUGAAGAGAUUAUCCC
rnacentral:lncRNA from 1 species